rnacentral:sRNA from 1 species
GAGGACAAUGCAAAUAGCUCUCGCCCUAAGAAUCGUUUACCUAUUUACAUACUUAUGUAUUUAUAGUAACUACAACAACAAAUUGAGCAACAGCCACAGCAGUGUGAAGGACGUUUGCAGUUGGUGCGCGUUUUUUGGCGCCACGCCAAUUUCACAACGCGAAAAAGCGGCAAAUCUCAUAGCAAAAGAACUGGGCGCAUACAUAACAUUUAGAAAGCGCAAAAUAGAUUAUUUAACUUUUUACGUAUUACGCAUCGAAUUCUUGUUUGCGUCACAUUCAAUCGCUCAUUAUCUCACUGCCACCCGCUCUCUUGCUCGCUCGCGUUCUGUCUCUUCCUCUUUCUCUCUCUCUCUCUCUCUCUCUUGCACGCACUCUACCCAACAUCGAAAACACCCCAAAGCAAAGCACCAACAAUAAAGCUGCAAAGGAGGCUCGUCCUUUUAGCCUAUUGUGUGGUUUUCGGAGAUGGGCGGAUGGUUACGCUCUUUGUUUAAAGGUCAUUCGGCGGACAAUCUUUUUGGCGCAACACAAUAACGGAAAAUGCAGACAAAAAGUCAUUUGGCAACAGAAACAACGCAUCUCCUAUGCAAAAGAAAUCAAGCAACAACAUCGGCAGCAGCAGCAGUAACAACAACAACAACAACAACA